rnacentral:snRNA from 10 species
UCACUUACCUGGAUGGGGAUAUUGGGUGAUCAAGAAGGCCCAUAUCCUAGGCCCAUGGCCUCCAUUGCACGUAGGAGGGGUGUGGGCUUAAGGCCUGCCCAAGUGGUGGCGCCUACAUCAUAAUUUGUGCCAGUGGGGACCUGCGUUCGCGCGGUCCCUUC